UGGGAAGGGCUGAGGAGAUCCCCAGACGAGGGGUCACCCAGUAGCCAUCAAUCAUCCUCCAUUUUGGGGCUGAGGGAUUUAACGGUGUGUCCAGAUGGCAGUCUACGCUGGAUUGUUCCACUAAGCCUGGUAGUACAAUGUGCUCGGAGAAACAUCCUGUCGUAGUCUGGAAUGACCACAAGAAUCUUGCCUACCUCCAAGCGGCAAAACGCCUGAACGACCGACAAGCCAGGUGGGCCUUGUUUUUCACACGAUUUAACAUGACCAUAACUUUCAGACCAGGGUCCCGGAACACAAAGCCCGACGCCUUGUCACGCCAGUUCGCGCCGGACACUGACCCGGGGCAGAAGGAAAGGCUAUUCUGCUCACUUCCUGCAUUGUAGAGGGAAAUAGAGAAAGUGAUCCGGGAUGCCCAGCAACAAGAGCCUGACCCAGGUACAGGUCCGGAAGGCAGAACAUACGUCCCCUCAGCAGCUUGGAGCAAAGUCAUCCACAUGGGGGCACACCACGAGGUUUGCUUGUCAUUCUGGUAAGAAUUGUACCAUCUCCUUUUUACGACGGUUGUUUUGGUGGCCCUCUCUCACUCAGGAUGUCCGGGAGUAUAUGGCGGCAUGCCCUGUGUGCGCCCAGAAUAAGACGCCUAACUCACCUACAUCAGGCCUCUCCCGACCACUGCCCAUUUCAAGACGACCAUGGUCACACAUCGGACUGGACUUCAUCACCAGCCUCCCUCCAUCCUCUGACUAAUGGGCAAACAGAGUGGGCGAACCAGGAGAUGGAGGGCAUGUCAUUUCCUCCAACCAGUCGUCAUGGAGUGAGCAGUUGGUGUAGGCCAAGUACGCACACAACUCCAGCACAUCAACCGCGACGGGAGUCUCGCCUUUCGAAGCAUCCCUGGAGUACCAACCCCCGCUCCUCUCGAUGACAGAAGGAGAAACACCACAUGAGGCGCUGCUGACAGAUCUGGCGGGCGACUAGGGCAGCCCUGCUGAGAAUGAGUGAACAAAAUAAGAAACUGGUAGACCGCUCUCGCAUCCCCACACCGGCCUAUCGGGUAGGCCAGCAGGUAUGGCUCUCUUCUAAGAACAUUCCUCUUCGGACAGAAUCCAAGAAGUUGGCUCCUCCGGUCCUUGGACCUUUUUCAGUGCAGGCCAUCCUGAACCCAGUGACUGUCCAGCUGGCUCUCCCACACAACAUGAAGGAGUUAGAGGAUGGAGUGGAUGGUUGAGGAGCAGAAGCAUGUUUGGAUUAUCACUGUGGAAAGUCACCUGCACUGCCACUGGGAGCUAGG